GUCUAUGGCCAUACCACCCUGAAUGCGCCCUAUCUCAACUGAUCUUGGAAGCUAAGCAGGGUUGGGUCUGGUUAGUACUUGGAUGGGAGAAAGUGAAACAUUCAUUAAUAGCCUUGGAAU
rfam:Ailuropoda melanoleuca scaffold1954_52, whole genome shotgun sequence.